rnacentral:tmRNA from 1 species
AACUUAUGGGGGUGAAUUAGGAUCGACGGAUGUCUAAAGGCUGUUCUUUCGUACGAGAUGGUUCCGACGUAACGGGCCAAUUUACAAAUGCUAACGAAAGUUACGCACUUGCUGCUUAAUUAACUUAGUUAAUUAAGUUACGGGGUCCGGGGCACCUGGCAACAGAACGCCCCUGAUU